AGACUGAAUAACGGUCAUCAAAAAUGAAAACUUUGAUUGCAGGUUUGAUUUGGCUAACAAAAAAUGAAAUAAGUUGUCAUAUUUUUUGUUAAUACUUU
rnacentral:misc_RNA from 2 species